rnacentral:lncRNA from 1 species
GCCCAACUGUUCCUAACUACACUCCGUUUGCCCCCACCCUUCCAUUUAGAAUGGGUUUGGAAGCUCUGGUGGAGUCAUAUGCAUUCUGGAGGCCAUCACUACGAACUCUCACCUUUGAAGAUAUUCCUGGAAUCCCAAAGCAAGGCAACACAAGUUCUUCAGCUCUACUCCCAGGUACUGGGAAUGGCGUUCCUGCUGCGCACCCUCACCUGCUGUCUGGCUCCUCCUGUUCCUCUCCUGCCUUCCAUCUGGGGCCCAACACCAGCCAGCUGUGUAGUAUGGCUCCCGCUGACUAUUCUGCCUGCGCCCGGUCAGGCCUUGCUCUCAACCGAUACAGCACGUCCUUGGCAGAGACCUACAACAGGCUUACCAACCAGAGCAGCGAGACCUUUGCCCCACCCAGGACUCCCUCCUAUGUGAGUGUGAGCAGCCCCUCUGUGAACAUGUCCAUGGGCGGCACGGACGGGGACACCUUCAGCUGCCCGC